CAGCGGGAUGCAGCAGGGGUGGAAGGGGGGACACGUCCGAGCCACCUCCCCCGGGCGCCUGGCUCGCCACUCUGUCUCCUGCAUUCCAGAGGAUGCGGCUCGCUUGGGUUGCAAAACGUGCGACCAGUUCGGUUUUGCUCUCCCCCGCCACACCAGGAAAAAUAAAAAAAAUAAUUAAAAAGCGCACCUGGAGCGGGGAGAGCGUUUGCCUGGCUGCGGAUGGGGGAGCUGCUGGCAGAGCAGGGGCCGUGGGCUGGGGUGUGCGGGGGCUGUCCCGGGCUCGGGCUGCCCUGAACUGGGGAGGGGACAGAGGACUGGGGCUGCGAACGAAAAUCCCGGCUCGGGGCAGGUGUGAGAAGGUGCGAGCGCUUCGGCUGCGGAUGCCUUCGAUGAGCACGGCAAGGGGGAGGGAGAGAGACGCUUUGGGUACCAAACUGAUCUCCCGGCUCUUGGCAGCUAAAGGAGGAUGCCUGGAUCUCUGAAUGGGGAAGGAAAGCGCCUUGAAGAGAAGAAACUACAGGGCUACGUUGUUUCCAUCGUCACUGAGAAAUGUGUAGCACUCCCAGGUUUCAAACAUACCUGAUUGUAUUUAGUUGUGGCAGAUCAAGAAAUCGUUGAGUGCUUCAGAGCAAAUGGAUGGGACAAAAUAAUCGGUUUUGAAAGGAAGAAUUGGACUGCAGGCAUUUAACAGUCAGUGUGAUGCUUGUGUUCAUUCUGCUGGUUCCCAGGGUAGUGCCAGUGCUUUUUACACUGCAGCAGGCUCUGCUGAUGUUUACUCCCAUCUCUUCUUGCAGCUUACAAAGAGACUCAGGAUUCUUUCCAAUUAUCUGUUAUUAUCUGCUGUUAUAGUGAGAACAGUGAGUCUGGACAUGAGGCAUUGUCAUUCAAGGCUUAUGGACAAUAUAUUGAUGGACUUUCAUUAAACACUGGGGCUGUGCAGCAGGAGGGAAUCCUGUCCCUGACAGGCUUGCAGAAUACUGAGUAUCACUUUAAUACCUAACUUUUAAGUAUUCUAUGCAAUUCUCUUCUUUAUGCCUUAUAAAAAUCCAGAUUAAGAUCUGUUUUGGGAUUAUAGAAGGUAUGAGUGGCAUUAUCUAUCUCAAGUGUAGAUAUAUGGAAGCACACCUAGGAAAUGCUCAGUAAAGAUUUCCAUUGAUGUUUACUAAACUCCUUUACUCAAACAGAUUAAUGUUUUCCAUGAAUUUGCUUGUGAAUUCUCUGUUGAAUUUUCCAAAUAAUUUGUUACAAUAACAUCCCAAUCCAGAACAUAAUAAACCCCCAAAGGGACCUUGUCUUUUAUAUUUACACA